rnacentral:rRNA from 1 species
CCUACGUGUGGCAGCAGUGGGGAAUAUUGCACAAUGGGCGAAAGCCUGAUGCAGCAACGCCGCGUGAGCGAUGAAGGCUUUCGGGUCGUAAAGCUCUGUCCUCAAGGAAGAUAAUGACGGUACCUGAGGAAGAAGCCCCGGCUAACUACGUGCCAGCAGCCGCGGUAAUACGUAGGGGGCUAGCGUUAUCCGGAGUUACUGGGCGGAAAGGGUGCGUAGGUGGUUUCUUAAGUCUGAGGUGAACGGUUACGGCUAAACCGUAGUAAGCCUUUGAAACUGGGGAACUUGAGUGCAGGAGAGGAAAGUGGAAUUCCUAGUGUAGCGGUGAAAUGCGUAGAUAUUAGGAGGAACACCAGUGGCGAAGGCGACUCUCUGGACUGUAACUGACGCUGAGGCACGAAAGCGUGGGGAGCAAACAGGAUUAGAUACCCCAGUAGUC